rnacentral:rRNA from 1 species
UACGUAGGGCGCAAGCGUUAAUCGGAAUUACUGGGCGUAAAGCGUGCGCAGGCGGUUCGGAAAGAAAGGUGUGAAAUCCCAGGGCUUAACCUUGGAACUGCACUUUUAACUACCGGGCUAGAGUAUGUCAGAGGGGGGUGGAAUUCCACGUGUAGCAGUGAAAUGCGUAGAGAUGUGGAGGAACACCGAUGGCGAAGGCAGCCCCCUGGGCCAAUACUGACGCUCAUGCACGAAAGCGUGGGGAGCAAACAGG